UGAACGCUAGCGACAGGCUUAACACAUGCAAGUCGAGGGGCAGCAUAAAAGUAGCAAUACUUGGUGGCGACCGGCGCACGAGUGAGUAACGCGUAUGCAACCUACCUAUCAGAGGGGAAUAACCCGGCGAAAGUCGGACUAAUACCGCAUAAAACAGGGACACCGCAUGGUGAUAUUUGUUAAAGAAAUUCGCUGAUAGAUGGGCAUGCGUUCCAUUAGGUAGUUGGUGAGGUAACGGCUCACCAAGCCGACGAUGGAUAGGGGAACUGAGAGGUUGGUCCCCCACACUGGUACUGAGACACGGACCAGACUCCUACGGGAGGCAGCAGUGAGGAAUAUUGGUCAAUGGGCGAGAGCCUGAACCAGCCAAGUCGCGUGAAAGGAAGAAGGAUCUAUGGUUCGUAAACUUCUUUUGCAGGGGAAUAAAGUGCAGGACGUGUCCUGUUUUGUAUGUACCCUGAGAAUAAGGAUCGGCUAACUCCGUGCCAGCAGCCGC
rnacentral:rRNA from 1 species